rnacentral:rRNA from 1 species
UGGGACUCAUCACGUUCGGAUAUUGGGCGUAGCGCGCGCAGGUGGUUUCUUAAGUCUGAUGUGAAAGCCCACGGCUCAACCGUGGAGGGUCAUUGGAAACUGGGAGACUUGAGUGCAGAAGAGGAAAGUGGAAUUCCAUGUGUAGCGGUGAAAUGCGUAGAGAUAUGGAGGAACACCAGUGGCGAAGGCGACUUUCUGGUCUGUAACUGACACUGAGGCGCGAAAGCGUGGGGAGCAAACAGGAUUAGAUACCCCCGUAGUCCCA